CAUUUGUUGGUUGAUAUCGAACAAUUUCGUUAGCAAUCUUCAGAUUCGGACUUCAUUAACGUAGCGUCUCGCUGUAUUUUAAUACCGAGGCGGCUACGUUUUUAU
rfam:Lactobacillus siliginis strain DSM 22696 Scaffold5, whole genome shotgun sequence.